rnacentral:rRNA from 1 species
CGGGGGUACACGAGUGGCGAACGGGUGAGUAACACGUGGGUGACCUGCCCUGUACUUCGGGAUAAGCCUGGGAAACUGGGUCUAAUACCGGAUAUGACCUUCUCCUGCAUGGGGGUUGGUGGAAAGCUUUUGCGGUACAGGAUGGGCCCGCGGCCUAUCAGCUUGUUGGUGGGGUAAUGGCCUACCAAGGCGACGACGGGUAGCCGGCCUGAGAGGGCGACCGGCCACACUGGGACUGARACACGGCCCARACUCCUACGGGAGGCAGCAGUGGGGAAUAUUGCACAAUGGGCGCAAGCCUGAUGCAGCGACGCCGCGUGAGGGAUGACGGCCUUCGGGUUGUAAACCUCUUUCAGUAGGGACGAAGCGCAAGUGACGGUACCUACAGAAGAAGCACCGGCCAACUACGUGCCAGCAGCCGCGGUAAUACGUAGGGUGCAAGCGUUGUCCGGAAUUACUGGGCGUAAAGAGCUCGUAGGCGGUUUGUCACGUCGUCUGUGAAAAACCCGAGGCUUAACCUCGGGCCUGCAGGCGAUACGGGCAGACUUGAGUACUGUAGGGGAGACUGGAAUUCCUGGUGUAGCGGUGGAAUGCGCAGAUAUCAGGAGGAACACCGGUGGCGAAGGCGGGUCUCUGGGCAGUAACUGACGCUGAGGAGCGAAAGCGUGGGUAGCGAACAGGAUUAGAUACCCUGGUAGUCCACGCCGUAAACGGUGGGUACUAGUGUGGGUUUCCUUCCACGGGAUCCGUGCCGUAGCUAACGCAUUA